GAAACGCACUUAACUCUCUAACAUUUUGAUACAUUUGAAAAAAAUGUGUUUGUUGCCAUGAAUGGAGGCAUCUCUUCAUGCUCGCAAAUAAUGGUCGCUCCGGAGUUAAAUAGACCCCAAAUGUGGUGUAAGCUUUGAAUAUAUUGAUUUGACGUUUAUUUGUGUAAAUUUUAUUAUGAAAUGAAAAUUAUUCUCUUGAUGUUCUUGAAAGCACUUACACUUACUUUAGAAAUAUUUGUUGCACAACAAACUUCAAUGUCGCAUUGCAACUUGUUGCGUUGCUAAGGCAACAAGUGGUCGUUGAUUACUUUUAUGUUGCGGCUCGAACGCGGCCGGUGAACAUGUUGGAUGUUGUGUUUUGUUUGAUUUACUUGAAGUGCUUGGAAAUAAUUAAGUACACUGUGGGAAGAUAAGUUGCUGACAACAAAAAAAAAAAAUGAAAUUAAUUGCGGGAAGAUAAGUUUCUGACAACACAAAAAAAAAAAAAUUAAUUGCGCUCGAUUGUGAACCAAAGGCAUUUAUUUUAUAAUAAUAUAAUAAAUUUAUGUAAUAAUUUGGUACGCAUUUGGCUCAGAAAAAUACAUGGUUUUAAAUCUUUUUCAUCACUGAAUUUAAAUUAAUAAAUCUAAUUUAUUAUAAUAAAAAAUUUAUUAUCAUAAUUUCACAACCGAGCGCAAUUAAUUUUAUAAUGUUUUUUCGUUGUCGUCACGUUAUUGUGAAUAUUGUGGCAAAUAAAUUUUUGCUAAAAAAAAAGCAGUUUGUUAGGGGGCCCGUAAAAAUGGACGCUUGUCAUAAUUUUUUUCAAAUAUGUUUUAGAACUUUUAUUCAAAUGUGGCAUAUAUCAUACUGAAGGGUAACUCUCGAAGAAUACAUUUUGGUGUUUUUAUUUUAAAAAAUGUUAUUAUUUAUUGUUGAUAGCGCCCCUCCCCCGAAACGCCGCUUUUUAGAAGAGGUUUGCGGUGAUCACGGUAGCGCAUGAGCAGCUCAACUGAAAUCAAAAAAAUUAAAUGAAUAUUGUAGAAAAAUGUUGUUUAGUGAAUCUGAACGGUUUAUUUACCAAAAAAAAAAACAAAUUAUCGAUAUGAAAACCGCUUUGCACCAAAAAAACCAUUUUUGAGGGGUUGAGAAAUUAAAAAAGGAAUUAGUUCCAGUGAACUAUGCAAAUAUUUAUAAAAAGUGAUCCGUUCAGAUUUACGAGGUUGCCACUUCAAAUAAUUAAAAAAAAGUGUAUGCAAAUCGGUCAAAUAGUUUUUGAUAAAUAAUUAUCACCGCGACGGUAAUUUUCAAAAAACACGACUUCGAGAUAAUCGCGUCUAAAGUUUUGCGUGCACUUCUCGUUCCAAGAAAGGUCGCGCGCUUCCAAGGUCUGUAACUUUCGUUCUAGUGCUCUGAUAUUUAUGAUUUUUUGAAUUUAUAUUUUUAAGAUGAUGUUCUUUUAGAAUAUGCCAUAAAACAAUUUUCGAUGUUUUAGUCCAACACAAGCUAUAUAACCCCUUAAGAAAAUAUUUGAAAAAUGAAAAAUGUUGUAAAAAUCAUUUGAACAGCUUAUUUUCGCAUACACCGGCUAAUGCACAGUUUAUUAGUGCAAGAACUUACAAUAAAUAUUAGUUUUCAUCCCGCAAUGAAUAUUUACUUUAAAUAAAAAAAAUUCUGAAUUAUGUCAUUUUCCAGCAAGCAAAAAAAUUUGACUUUAGAACUAACCAGAGAGUAGUGACACGAUUCAGCAAGCAAUCAGCGCUAAAGUGCCAGUAAUGGGCAAACAAAUGAACUAAUAAGCCAAUAGACAGACAAAUAAAACACAUAAAUUUAUAUAAUAAAACUGCGUGACCGUCACACAGCACAUUUUGUAGACCUAAUCGAGUAAUAAAAAGCUCUAUACUCAAAAUCCUCAGAGAACCUCAAAAAACUGUUUUUUUUUUCUACCCUAAUGCCUGAUUUUGAGGGUAUAUUUUAGAUUUAGAAUAGUUAAAAUUUCGUAUACAGCAAAAUUCCUCAGUGCUUAUUACCGUGCAGGUUCGUGUUCACAGAUUUAUUAUUAAGUUUUGCAUGCAAAUAUCAUUGCAAUAUCCGCACUAUCCAAAAACCAGAGGCGGACGUUAUGUGUCAAUCAGUAUUGAUAAAAAUAAUCUCGCAUAAACUGGCAAAAAUCCACACAAAAAAACAAAAAAAAAACAAAAAACAAGUAAUCUUUGUUGCAACAUUUUGCGCACCCACCACAUAAAGUUUUUAUGUAAACUUACUUCCUACUUAUAUUAAAAUUGACACUUCAAGCUCAGCCUCAGUGCUGUCUUGGGAUAAAGACAAUACCACAUUUGCUUUUUGUCAUAAAAGCACGGAUGAUUUUCCUCUAAGUCAAUUCAAUUUUCGUCGUUCAUUUUUAAUAUUCAAAUUUUUUAUUGCCGAUAUCAAAACAAAUGUAAAGUAUUUCACAGCUGCCUAUGGUUACGGCGGAAAACCAAAAUUCAAUAGAUGCAUACGACUUUGGAGCUAUGGUGCGGCACCUAUAAUCGUUUACAGUGAUGCUCAUAUUUUUUAUCAGAUCAGCUGAUUGCUACGGUUACGGUUAUGACUACGAUACGACACCACUAAUUGCAACUUUAUUCGCGGUCACUCGAACAAAAUAGUUUUCGGCAACAUUCGUUGCUUUUGACGUUUUCUUCUUAAAGUUUGACGAUGCGAAUAAGAAGCACAAAGCUUGUCGCCAGUGUGGGAAACGUAAGCGAGCCUCUCUUCGCCGUUCGCCCCCUUUUCUCAUGAUGUCAAAUGUCAAAAUAUUUACCUUCCAAAAAUUAUAAUUUUUCUAAACUUAUUUUGUAAAUGAUUUCGAAGUGUACUGCUUGGCAACACUGUGUGGUAAGAGAGCAAUCAGCUGACAGGGUUCUACGGAAAUUUUCAAAAAUCGUGAAAAUCGUGAAGGAAUUUUUCAUUUACAUGGGGUUCUCAUUAGUGUGAUCAUAACAGCUGACAGGGGACUGCGUUUACGUCGGUCAUUGUUUUCAGCAUUAGUCGUGGUGGUGCUGAAGAAUGUAUCGAUUUCUUUCGUUUUUAUUAAUUUUUAUUUUGGAAUUCUGUAACACACAACUGGAUUCAUCGAAAAUCAGCGACCUCUUUUUAUUUUUGAAUUGGCGAACUGUAUAUCGACGAACGUUGAUUAUUUGAUUAUAAAAAAAUACAAUGCAACAAAAAAUGCUACAUUCCAAAGUUAGAUGCCAACAAUUUAACUUAUAAUUACUAUUCGCACCACGACAACGAACAUGUUUGAGUGCAAUCGGCUCGACAAAAACAGGCAAAGCGAGCCGCUCAAACGUUGACGGGGGCUCGUUGCUUUGCCGCAGCUGCUUAGAGCGAUACGUUUGAUUUGGAAAUUUAUUCCACUACAAACAGCGUUUGUGAAAUGUUGUGUGAAAAGAAGUAAACGGAAGGAUUUUUCUUCAAAAGAAACUUAAGUAACUUACCAAGAAAACAAUAAAUAGUGGAAGAAAAACCGUGUGUCUAGUAAUAGAAAAUAAAAAAUAUAAAUAAAAUACUUUGUUUAAGUGAAAAAGAGAAGUGUUGAAAAUAAUGACAGAUACAACAAAAUAAGUGCAAGAAAUUCGCAAAGCAGCGAGUGCAAAGGCGCUAGAAAUGUGCAGGAAUACCAAAGUUGCAAAAAAUGCCAAACAAAAAAAUAAAGAAAAUAGUAACAAGAAGAAUACGUGCAAAUGCCAUUGCAAGUGGCACCCACUGCAUAGAAACCUUUGAUGAGCAAAAAUAAUAAUAAAGAAAAGAAGACAUUGCGGCUGGUUUCCCACUGUUUGAUCGAUAACAGCAUUUAAAGGCAUUUCACUUGCGUCCAAUGUAUGGUAAUGAGUGAAAAUAUUUACGGAAGCAGCAAGAAAAUGAAUUGAAAUGUUGUUACACGAAAUUUGAACUAUGUGAAGUGACAUUUAAAUAAAAUUACACACACAAAUAUGUAAAUAAAUUUGUGUCUUAAAGCUGCAUUGGCUAUGUGAAAGAAAGAGAGAGAGUGAAUAGCACGAACAACAACAAGCAAACUAAAAAGAAAUUAUUAAAAGAAAAAAAUUAUUUCUCGAAUUGUUGAAUUAUGCAAAACGAAAAACAAAUCUCGCUACUAAACCCAAAAGGCAAACAGGCCGUGCGGUCCGGUCCGUGCCGGGAAAACGUUUAAAAAAUACUUUUUUAUGCAAUGUGCAACAAGCAAGAGGAAUGCAUGCAGCAGCAUAAUCGUUAUAAUUGCAGUUGAUGAAUGGAUAGUAAAAAAACAAAAAUAAAAAUAAAAUUCAAGCGCAACAAGUGGCACAAUUGUGUGGCGUGCAUUUAGAGCGCGGCAGGCAGUGAAUAAAACGAGUGUAUGCAGCGCCAUUAAAGCGACUAAACCACAAUAACAACACUGCAUCGCUGCCCGCAGUAAUUGACCAUUACAAAGAAAGGAAUAAACCAGCAAAAAAAAGCCACUGAUUUGAUAACAAACCAACCAUAAGGAUUGUCAGCGAAGCUAAAGCUAAUAUGUUUUUAUGUGUGAAUAAGUGUCAUUGCAUCUGCAUACUCGUACAUAUCUAUAUUUGCAUACUUCCGUUGGCAAGACUUUUCCUAAUGUGUGCUAAUCGCAUCAUCAAUCGAAUGUGCGACCACCGCAAACUCACAACUACAUAGUAAAAAAAGCUUUUGUGAAAUAAAAAACGAAAAUUAUAAUAAAUUAUUAAAAUUAUAUAAAAGCCCAAAAAGUCACGCAACAUCGCCGAUAAGUAAAGCAGUGUAAGCUGAAACAGAUUCGACCAAAAAUUUACUACUCAAAUUGUUCAGGAAAAUAUAAUAAUUUAAAAAAAUGUAUCUGAUACAGGUGAGCGAGCGAGCGUGCGUGCAGAUACUUAAGUAUUUGUAUACAUUUUGUGUAAUAUUCAUGAAAAUUAUCAUCCACUUUAUACAUAUCUACAAAUUUUAGCCACAACUCUGUAAUACUGCCAACAAAAACAAAAGAAAAAAAUGUUGGAUUUUUUUUUCACACUAAAACUAGUAAAUUUGUGAUUUGCUCACACAAAAUGAGACAACUCACAAUAACAACAACAGUCUGGUUUAUUUACAAAGUGGAGCUAUUGAAUAGCGAGUCUGAGGCCGUGGAAAGUUUUACUUUGAUUUACACAUAUUUAUCUUUAACGUACGCCUCUCCUUUAACCCCUAAAAAACUGCUACUGAAUUUUUCAUUAUUAGAGUCUGCACUAAAAGUCUGCUUCUAAUAGCUUCAUCAGGACGGGUGGCGUCGUGAUUUUUCAAUAAAAAAAAAAAAAAAGAAAUUGAAAACGCACAGCCCAAGAUCCGGCGCGUAAGAUGGAUGGUCUAACACUGGGUUGCUGUACUUGUUGUUGUAACAACAUAACACAUUGCGAAAAUGCUGCUGAUGUAACAGCCCUUGGCUGAACUUAAGGGGGGGAAACCGGUUUAGAUCGAUCAAAAAAUCGAGUUUUGUUUAUUGCAUAAAUCGUUAGUAUAACUACUCAAGAAUAUGUGGUAAAAAUUUUAAAGCGAAAUUCGCAUUAUUCCCGAUUCUAUGAGCACUUAAGUGACUGCCCGUCGGUUCCACACCGUAGCGCGCGUUAGUUAGAACGACGUUUUUCUCGAAACUACUUUUUUCAACUGGUGGGCAUUCUAGCUUAAAAAGUUAUCGACCAAUCGUUCUAAUAUUUUUCGGGAUUUCUUUUUAUUCAAUUCUAAUCUAUAUGAACCUAAUUCUAGGAUUAUAUUAUUAUUUAAAAUAUGGUUUUUUAAGCCAAAUAGAUGAAAAAUAUGGUUUAAAAAAACCAACUUUGUGUUCAAGCGCCUCAAAAGCAUGCAAUUUUCAAUAUUUUUUUACCACUAUUAGGUUGAUAUUUUUAGGAAAUAUGUUGUUAAUAAAAAAAAAACUUGCUGUUGAUUUCAGAGAAAAAUUGCAACUUCAGGAAUUUCCACCAGCAAGACACACGGAUGGUGAUCGUCCAUGGACAGCGCGCUCUAACGCCACUAUCUCCCGCGGAAAUAGCUUCAAAAAAAUUUAAAAGCAUACCUAAAAAUAUAAAUAAUAUAUCCUCUAAACUUAAACAAUUUCUGAUUAUUUCUUCUUUGUUAAACAAAUUCUCGAAAAACACCAAAAUUUUGGCCUCCUAAACCGGUUUCCCCCCUUAAGUUAUGUAAUUGCCCGGUAACAUAAGCGGCCUCCGAAUGCGUUGGUGCGUAACUGGCUUUCGUGAGUACGCCGUUUCGAAUCUCCGUGCAUGAAACAUCGAAAUGAUAAAAGAAGGUUUUUCCAAUAGCGGUCGCUCUUCGGCAGACUAAUCGCUGAAUGUCUGGUGUGAAAAAACUACUCUUAAAAAGUAUCUGCCGUUCAGAGGCGGACCUAAAACUCUAGGUUCUUCUAUUUGUUGAAAAACAUCAAAGCGCACACCACAAAAAUAGGGUGUAAGUUAAAAAUGAAGACAUCAAUUUAAAAAAAAAAAAAAAUGUAUUUUUAUUUUUAAACAUAGUUCCCUUUUAGAAAGGUAUAGUUUCUCCAACUUUCGGCCAUUUUUUGGACCCCUCCAAAAAGUAGGAUUUAUCGAACUCUCCAAAAUACGUCUCUGCCCUCGUUUGAACUAAUUUUUUUCCCGAGAGCCAUUUUCUUCGUGUUAGGAAACAAGAAAAAGUCGCGGUGAGCCAGAUCGGAUGAAAACAGGGGGUGCGGCAGCAAUUAAUAACACAAUUCAUGCAGUGUCUCCAUCAAUUUUUUGUGAAAGCGGUCCAAUAACUCACUGUAGUAUUGUCCAGUGAUUGUUCUUCCUUUUUCAUAAAAAGCCAUGUGGAUGACGCCGCCGCUAGCAUCCCAAAAAAUCGUCGCCAUGACCUUACCGGUCGAUGGGGUUGUCUUCGUCUUCUUUGGAGUAGAUUCACCGGGAGAAAUCCGUUGUUGCUUAGUUUCUAGUGUGUAAUGAUUAAUCCAGAUAUUCUCUAUUGUUACACUUAAUAUUAUUCAUGAUUCAUGACAAAAUUUGCAUUUUGUCAUAAAAACACGGUUAGUUUUCCACUAAGUCAAUUAAUUUUUCGACGUUCAUUUCUAAUAUUAAAAUUUUUUUUAGCGCAAAUAUCAAAACAAAUGGCAAGCAUUUCACCGCCGCUUACGGUUACGCAGAAAAACUAAAAUUCAGUAAAUAAUAUACAACUACAGUUAUUGCUUUGGCGCUAUGGUGCGUCACCUAUAAUCAUUUACAGUGAUGCCCAUAUGUUUUAUCUGAACAGCUGAUUGCUACGGUUACGGCUAAGGUAUGGCACCACUAAUUGCAGCUUAACCUCUGUAUGUUUAAAAGCGGGAAACUUUCAAGGCAGACAAAGAAAGAGGGAGAGACCCGAGACAGAAUGAGAGAGAGAGAGAGAAAGAAUAUAUAUCUAAGUAAAUUCACAACAUUUGCAGAGACUACAAAUAGACAAAAUUUACAAAAAAACAGAAAAGGUAAACGCCGGACACAAACCGUGGCAACAAUGCGCACUACUCCGAGCGUUUAUCACCCGUUCAAACGCAGCGAUUCCAGGACCGCAGCAACGGCACAAAUUACCGCAAGGCAAUACCAAUAAAUCCGACGCCGGAAUGGAUAGCACUUUAUAGUACGUACAAGUACUAGCCAGGAAACGGAAAUAAGCGCCAAAAAGUAGGCACACAAAAAAACCAUCAAGGAAAUACAAUGCCAAAAAGUAGGCACCAAAAAAAAAAGCCAAAAAAAUCGGGACUAAAAAACGUCCCAAACAGUAGGCACCAAGGAACCAUAACUCCAAAAAGUAGGCACCAAAAAUAUAUUUCCUACAAGUUUGCACCUACCAACAAGCGCCAAAAAGUAGGCAGUGUUAUAUCUCACUAGAAAUUAGCAACCACAAGGAAAAACUCAAAAAAAAUAACCUAAAAUGUAUCUAAGAUAUAUAUAAGGUAUAGCUCUCUCUCUCCUUUUCCUCUACGUAAUAUCUUUUUUCUCUCUCGCGGAACGCAAAUGCCAAAAACGUUGCAUGCCCUUGAAAUUUUACUCCCCAUUCUCGCUCGUCCAUCGACGCCUAAGAAGUUUCACUUCAAAAAGUUGAUUAAAUGACGACCAACUGAGCCUGACCUCUUUAUUAGUCAUCUACUCCGUUGAAUUCGUAAAUCCAUUCUAAAGCAGUAUCGAAAAUUAAUUGUUAAAAAAAAUCGAAAUUUUGAAAAAAAAAAUCUUUCGAUCAGGCACGAGUUUUUUAUGUUUUUCAAAAGCAAUAAAAAUUUUAUUGAAAUUUUGUUUUGAGAAAAACGUAUUUAAAAUUUUGCUAUCGAUUUCGGAGCGCCCGAGCGCCCUUUGUUAAUUAUUGAAUAACUCGAAAAGUAUUUGUCGGAUUCACUUCGAAUUUUCACACAAUAUUUUUAAGAUAUUAUACUUUACGAAAAUGCAAAAAACAUAAAAUUUUUUGAAAAUUCUGACUACCCCUAACCCCUUAAUGACCGAUUGGACACGGUGAGGAGCUGCGCAGCAAUUUUCACUGCAGAUAUCGUUGAGAUUUUUUUAUUCCAGUUUGUUUCUAUUUUAGUAUACUUACGUUUUCACAUCAAUUUUAAUUAAAUUUAUUUUAAUUUAAUUAAAUUUUAUUUGGUUGUUCUACAAAAUAUUUUUCAUCUUUUUUUUUGUUUAGGAGUUUUUACUUUUUAAAAUUUCGACAUGUUGAAUGUAUGAUAUUUAAAAAUAUGAACUUGAAUAAAAUGGCACACCCUUAUAUUUUUUUUCUUCAUUUUUCUUGCUAUCAUCCAAUAAUUUUUUUUUUGGAUUAAGUUCCCUUUCAUAAAAAC